GCUACCGACAGCUCAGUUAGUAGAGCAUGAAAUUCUUAAUCUAAGGAUCAUGGGUUCGAGCCCUAUGUUGGGCA